AUGGAAAAAUUUGACUUCAUUUGCUGGCAUAAGCAGUCUGUUGGACAUUACAACCAGCAGAAGUCUGUCCUCCUGACACAGUGGCCAGAGACUGAGUCCGUCCAGCUGGGAGAAGCAGUGACUCUCCAGUGUUCGGUUCUCUUCGAGAACAAAGACAGCAGCAGCCGGUGUUCAGGUGAACACAGUGUGUACUGGUUCAGAGCCGGAUCAGGAGAAUCCCAUCCAGGCGUCAUUCACAGUCGUGGGAACAGAAGUCAUGAAUGUCAGGAGAGUCCUUCUCGUCAACGGAGCUGUGUUUACACACUCUCCAAAAGUGUAACCAACUCCUCUGAUGCUGGGACUUACUACUGUGCUGUGGCCACAUGUGGGGAGAUCCUGUUUGGAAGUGGAACGAAAGUGGACACAAAUGCUGAAUUGCCUCCAGUUGUCAUUAUGCUCGGGGUCAUUUUUGCUUGCUGUGUGAUUGUGAUCACCGUAAUUAUGUUCUCCACAAGUCAAGUUUGUGAUCAGCCCAAAGAAUGA